AAGAUUGGACAAUGGGGGCAACACUGAUCUAGCCAUGCCGCGUGUGUGAAGAAGGUCUUCGGAUUGUAAAUCACUUUAUUUUGGGAGGAAGGGCUGUAGGUUAAUACCCUGAAGUUGUUACGUUACCACCAGACUAAGCCUCUGCUAACUCUGUGCCAGCAGCCGCGGUAAUACAGAGGGUGCAUUCGUUAAUCGGAAUUACUGGGCGUAAAGCGCGCGUAGGUGGUUCAGUAAGAUGGGUGUGAAAUCCCCGGGCUUAACCUGGGAACUGCUUUCAUAACUGCUGAGCUAGAGUACGGUAGAGGGUAGUGGAAUUUCCUGUGUAGCGGUGAAAUGCGUGGAAAUAGGAAGGAACACCAGUGGCGAAGGCGACUACCUGGACUGAUACUGACACUGAGGUGCGAAAGCGUGGGGAGCGAACA
rnacentral:rRNA from 1 species